rnacentral:miRNA from 1 species
UGUGGCCUUGAAGCUGAGCGGAGGG